AUGCCUGCUGCCAAUUCUGGUUCCGAUUCAGCUGUUGCUUCUCGUGUACCUUCUGCAGUUGGUGUAGAAGAAGAUGCAGAACCUGAUGAGGCUGUGCCUACAAAUGAUGAUGAAGACGAGAUGAUGUUUCCUGAACUGGUCGAUGUAGCCAGUCAGCAAGCAGUGGAUGAUGAAUAUAUGGAGGAGCCCAUCAGCCAAGCUAGGUUUGAUGACACUGACGAUGAAGAGAAGGUGGAGAACAUGGACAGCUUAAUCGAGGAUGAAUACGAUGGUGAUGACAUGCCAACAAUUGAGUGGAACAUAGAAAAACCUGAGCUUAGUGUAGGUACCAUUUUCCAAUCAAUGGUGGACUGUCGGAAUGCAGUGACAACAUGGUGCAUUAUAUCUGAAAACACCUAUAAGAUUAAAAGGAGUGAGCCAGCAAGGUUCACAGUUUUUUGUCCAUAUCCUAGGUGUAGGUGGAAGUUGCAUGCAUCUCGUAUGAGAAAGAGCAAAUAUAUUCAGGUAAUCCAAGUUCGUUAG
rnacentral:rRNA from 1 species